rnacentral:rRNA from 1 species
AGAGUUUGAUCCUGGCUCAGAGCGAACGCUGGCGGCAGGCCUAACACAUGCAAGUCGAACGCCGUAGCAAUACGGAGUGGCAGACGGGAUAGUAACACGUGGGAACGCGCCCUUCGGUUCGGAAUAACUCAGGGAAACUUGAGCUAAUACCGGAUACGCCCUUACGGGGAAAGAUUUAUUGCCGAAGGAACGGCCCGCGUCGGAUUAGCUAGUUGGUGAGGUAAUGGCUCACCAAGGCGACGAUCCGUAGCUGGUCUGAGAGGAUGACCAGCAUCACUGGGACUGAGACACGGCCCAGACUCCUACGGGAGGCAGCAGUGGGGAAUAUUGGACAAUGGGCGCAAGCCUGAUCCAGCCAUGCCGCGUGGAUGAUGAAGGCCCUAGGGUUGUAAAGUCCUUUUAACGGGGAAGAUAAUGACGGUACCCGUAGAAUAAGCCCCGGCUAACUUCGUGCCAGCAGCCGCGGUAAUACGAAGGGGGCUAGCGUUGCUCGGAAUUACUGGGCGUAAAGCGCACGUAGGCGGG